UACGUAGGGGGCUAGCGUUGUCCGGAUUUAUUGGGCGUAAAGAGCUCGUAGGCGGCUUGUCGCGUCGACCGUGAAAACUCGCAGCUCAACUGCGAGCCUGCGGUCGAUACGGGCAGGCUAGAGUUCGGUAGGGGAGACUGGAAUUCCUGGUGUAGCGGUGAAAUGCGCAGAUAUCAGGAGGAACACCGAUGGCGAAGGCAGGUCUCUGGGCCGAUACUGACGCUGAGGAGCGAAAGCGUGGGGAGCGAACAGG
rnacentral:rRNA from 1 species